rnacentral:rRNA from 1 species
GGGGGCUCGCACAAGCAGCGGAGCAUGUGGUUUAAUUCGAAGCAACGCGAAGAACCUUACCUAGACUUGACAUCCCCUGCAUAACCCAGAGAUGGGCGAAGUCCUUCGGGACAGGGUGACAGGUGGUGCAUGGUUGUCGUCAGCUCGUGUCGUGAGAUGUUGGGUUAAGUCCCGCAACGAGCGCAACCCUUAUCAUUAGUUGCUACCAUUUAAUUGAGCACUCUAGUGAGACUGCCCGGGUUAACCGGGAGGAAGGUGGGGAUGACGUCAAAUCAUCAUGCCCCUUAUGUCUAGGGCUACACACGUGCUACAAUGGUGAGUACAAAGAGAUGCAAGAUCGCAAGGUGGAGCCAAACUCAAAAACUCAUCCCAGUUCGGAUUGUAGGCUGCAACUCGCCUACAUGAAGCCGGAGUUGCUAGUAAUCGCGAAUCAGCAUGUCGCGGUGAAUACGUUCCCGGGCCUUGUACACACCGCCCGUCACACCAUGAGAGUUGGUAACACCCGAAGUCCGUGAGGUAACCGUAAGGAGCCAGCGGCCGGAGGUGGGAUCGAUGAUUGGGGUGAAGUCGUAACAAGGUAACCGUAAGGGC